ACGUCUUUAGUUUAAUUGGUUCAGAACGACAGACUCCAAAUCUGUAAGAUGUGGGUUCGAGUCCUACAGGGCGUG
rnacentral:tRNA from 1 species